rnacentral:rRNA from 1 species
GUGAGGAAUAUUGCGCAAUGGAGGCAACUCUGACGCAGCCAUGCCGCGUGCAGGAAGAAGGCGCUACGCGUUGUAAACUGCUUUUAACCGGGAAGAAACCCCAGGACGUGUCCUGGGUUGACGGUACCGGAGGAAUAAGCACCGGCUAACUUCGUGCCAGCAGCCGCGGUAAUACGAAGGGUGCAAGCGUUAUCCGGAUUCAUUGGGUUUAAAGGGUGCGUAGGCGGAGCGUUAAGUCAGUGGUGAAAUCCUGCAGCUUAACUGUAGACUUGCCAUUGAUACUGGCGCUCUUGAGUGCGCUUGAAGUGGGCGGAAUGUGCCGUGUAGCGGUUAAAUGCUUAGAUAUGGCACAGAACACCAAUUGCGAAGGCAGCUCACUAAGGCGAUACUGACGCUGAGGCACGAAAGCGUGGGGAUCGAACAGGAUUAGAAACCCCAGUAGUCC